GGUCAUGGUUUAAGGAAUGUGUCACGUUUCUUCAGAGAUUCCAGUCGGAAUCCAAGCCGAGAUAAUGGAUGCUCUAGGGUUUAUGAAGGUUUGAUGAACUCUGCUGCGUGUACCAGCGAAACACAAAGAUCCUCUUUAAAUGGCUUCCGGUAAGACGAUUAGGGUUCCGGCGUGCUGGACUGCCAUCUCUGUCAAAAAGGAUAUGUGUUAG
rnacentral:lncRNA from 1 species